GAUGAACGCUGGCGGCGCGCCUAACACAUGCAAGUCGAACGGCACCCCUCCUCGGAGGGAAGCGAGUGGCGAACGGCUGAGUAACACGUGGAGAACCUGCCCCCUCCCCCGGGAUAGCCGCCCGAAAGGACGGGUAAUACCGGAUACCCCGGGGUGCCGCAUGGCACCCCGGCUAAAGCCCCGACGGGAGGGGAUGGCUCCGCGGCCCAUCAGGUAGACGGCGGGGUGACGGCCCACCGUGCCGACAACGGGUAGCCGGGGUGGGAGACCGACCGGCCAGAUUGGGACUGAGGCACGGCCCAGGCUCCUGCGGGAGGCAGCAGUGGGGGAUCUUGCGCAAUGGGGGGAACCCUGACGCAGCGACGGCGCGUGCGGGACGGAGGCCUUCGGGGCGUAAACCGCUUUCAGCAGGGAAGGGUCAUGACUGUACCUGCAGAAGAAGCCCCGGCUAACUACGUG
rnacentral:rRNA from 1 species